rnacentral:Y_RNA from 1 species
GGCUUGUCUGAAGGUAGCAAGUUAUCUCAGUUGAUUGUUCACAGUCAGUUACAGAUCGAACUCCUCAUUCUGCUCUUUCCUCCUUCUCACUACUGAACUUGACUACUCUGGG